GAAAUGAAAAUUAAUAUUUAAGCUUCUAACUUAAUUACUAGUGUUAUUAUAAACAUUAUCAUUUUU
rnacentral:tRNA from 1 species